rnacentral:rRNA from 1 species
UGGGAUUUGGGAAUCGAAUGGCGACGAGCCAUGCAUCCAGCAAUGCCGCGUGCAGGAUGAAGGCCUUCGGGUUGUAAACUGCUUUUGUACGGAACGAAAAGCCUCUCUCUAAUACAGGGGGUGAUGACGGUACCGUAAGAAUAAGCACCGGCUAACUACGUGCCAGCAGCCGCGGUAAUACGUAGGGUGCAAGCGUUAAUCGGAAUUACUGGGCGUAAAGCGUGCGCAGGCGUUUUGUAAGACAGUUGGUGAAAUCCCCGGGCUCAACCUGGGAACUGCCAUUGUGACUGCAAGGCUGGAGUGCGGCAGAGGGGGGAUGGAAUUCCGCGUGUAGCAGUGAAAUGCGUAGAUAUGCGGAGGAACACCGAUGGCGAAGGCAAUCCCCUGGGCCUGCACUGACGCUCAU